CUAGCUCUACGGAAUAACCCAGGGAAACUUGGACUAAUACCGUAUACGUCCGAGAGGAGAAAGAUUUAUCGGAGUUAGAUGAGCCCGCGUUGGAUUAGCUAGUUGGUGGGGUAAAGGCCUACCAAGGCGACGAUCCAUAGCUGGUCUGAGAGGAUGAUCAGCCACACUGGGACUGAGACACGGCCCAGACUCCUACGGGAGGCAGCAGUGGGGAAUAUUGGACAAUGGGCGCAAGCCUGAUCCAGCCAUGCCGCGUGAGUGAUGACGGCCUUAGGGUUGUAAAGCUCUUUCAACGGUGAAGAUAAUGACGGUAACCGUAGAAGAAGCCCCGGCUAACUUCGUGCCAGCAGCCGCGGUAAUACGAAGGGGGCUAGCGUUGUUCGGAAUUACUGGGCGUAAAGCGCACGUAGGCGGAUACUUAAGUCAGGGGUGAAAUCCCGGG
rnacentral:rRNA from 1 species